rnacentral:rRNA from 1 species
UGGAUGAUGUGGAUAAUUCGAUGCAACGCGAAGAACCUUACUACCUUGACAUGUCCGGAACUUGCCAGAGAUGGCUUGGUGCCCGAAAGGGAAUCGGAACACAGGUGCUGCAUGGCUGUCGUCAGCUCGUGUCGUGAGAUGUUGGGUUAAGUCCGCAACGAGCGCAACCCUUAUCAUUAGUUGCUACGCAAGGGCACUCUAAUGAGACUGCCGGUGACAAACCGGAGGAAGGUGGGGAUGACGUCAAGUCCUCAUGGCCCUUAUGGGUAGGGCUUCACACGUCAUACAAUGGUCGGUACAGAGGGUUGCCAAGCCGCGAGGCGGAGCCAAUCCCACAAAGCCGAUCGUAGUCCGGAUUGUUCUCUGCAACUCGAGAGCAUGAAGUCGGAAUCGCUAGUAAUCGCAGGUCAGCAUACUGCGGUGAAUACGUUCCCGGGUCUU